rnacentral:lncRNA from 1 species
UAUGAUGUAUAGGUGGUGAGCCCUCUAACAAGGGUAAAGAGAUUGUGCCCGAAGAUCGAGAAUAGGAGUAUAUCGAACUCCUAGUACUAUGAGUAACCUUACUAUCGUCUUAAUUAUCUAAAGUGGUUUUUAUCUGAUUUUGUGAAUUUCAUGGAAAAUGAAUUAAAUGAUUAAUUUUUCGAUUUUAUAAACCAAAUGUGAUUUAAUGAAAUGAUUUCAUAAAAUUGUUUUAAAAUUGAAUAAUGGCUUUGAAAAUAGAGUAAUUGGAGACCAUUUGAUGUAUUAUGAAUUGAUGGUUCUAAUUGAUUGGCUUAUGACAAUAUUGGCAUGAAUGGCUGAAUUGGAAUUUGUGUUGAAAUGUAUAAACUGUUGUUUGCCUUGACAGGCUGGAUAAUGAUGAAAUUGUCAUGUCAUGCUGUUGCAAAUUUUAUUGUAUAGUGGGUUUAGCUUGCUGCAGUGGGCUGGUUCUGUGGAUUAGCCUAUUAAAGGGGCACGAAACCUGGUCAUAUUCUUACCUCGGUUGGAGAGGCGAGUAGGGUAACUCUCGAGGUAUAACUUUUAGAGUUCACUUCACGCCAAACCACCACGUCAGGGCUAACUCAGCCAAUGCCAAGGAACGACUAUAUUUUUUAAAUAAAAAACAUGAUUUAUGAGUACAUAACUUUUUAAUAGCCUUGGCAGACCCGGUUUGGGAUAGCCCACGGCCAAGGUAUCCCUGAUGACUGAGUAUGAUGAUGAUUUUGGCACGAGCCAAAGUUUUAAGAAAUUCAUAAGCUAUGUUAAUUACUUGAUUUAUAUGAAUUGAUUUUAUUUGGUUGAAAUGAGUUUGAAAGGUGAUGAAUUUCAGUAUGUUAAACUGUUUUAUCUGUCUCCAUUUACUCGACUUUAGAUGGUUUAGAUGGUAUCUGUUUACUCACUAGAAUUUUAUAAACUCACCACCCUCCUUUUCAACCAUUUCAGGCCCGAGGUAGCCUGUGGAUAGCAGAUAUCGUGAAGGAUUUUAGUCGGCUUUACUACAAAAACUGUAGGUUUACUACCUUUGUGCACUUUUGUUGAUUGUGGGCCCCGAGUCACUGUAAAGUAAAUUUCAUAUCCUGAUCAUCUGUAUUAUAGUACGUAAGAAUUUAUUUAGCUUUUACAUUACAAAAAUUAUUUACUGAUGACGCUAUAAAUAUUGUUUUACAAGAAAUUAGAAUAUUUUAUUGAAUAUUUUUUUUAUUCAAAUAGUUGCAAUAUCAUUUUUAAUAAAUGUUUUAGACACCCAAAUUUAUUUUAAAUCAUGAAAUAUGUGUUUUCCACUCAUCUACUACAUCUUUAGUCAGGUUCGGAAAAUUU